rnacentral:lncRNA from 1 species
GUGGCUUACAUAUGGGAUGAUCUGGACAUGGUUUUGAGCCCCAUGAUCACCACAAUCACCAGUAAUCCCUGCAUACGCUUCGUCUCCAUUGAUAAUAAGAAGCCAGUUCUGCAUGGCUGGGGAGGCCUCAGGAAACUUAUAAUCAUGGCAGAAGGCAAAGGGGAAGCAACCUUAGACCUUUCUCAUGUGGCAGCAGGAGAGAGAAGAGUGAGGAGUGAAGGAGGAAGAGCCCCUUAUAAAACCAUCAGAUCUCAUGAGAACUCACUCACUUUCACAAAAACAGUGUAGGGGAAACCACCCCCAUGAUCCAAUCACCUCACAUCAGUCUCUCCUAGACACAUGGGUAUUAUAGGGAUUACAAUUCAAGAUGAGAUUUGGGUGGAGACACAGCCAAAUUAUAUCAUUCCAUCCCUGGCCCCUCCCAAAUCUCAUGUCCUCACAUU